rnacentral:rRNA from 1 species
UACGGAGGGGGCUAGCGUUGUUCGGAAUUACUGGGCGUAAAGCGCACGUAGGCGGUCUGUCGCGUCGGUCGUGAAAACUUGGGGCUUAACCCUGAGCUUGCGGUCGAUACGGGCAUGACUGGAGUUCGGUAGGGGAGACUGGAAUUCCUGGUGUAGCGGUGAAAUGCGCAGAUAUCAGGAGGAACACCGGUGGCGAAGGCGGGCCUCUGGGCCGAUACUGACGCUGAGGAGCGAAAGCGUGGGGAGCGAACAGG